CUACGUGCCAGCAGCCGCGGUAAUACGGAAGGUCCGGGCGUUAUCCGGAUUUAUUGGGUUUAAAGGGAGCGUAGGCCGGGGAUUAAGUGUGUUGUGAAAUGUAGACGCUCAACGUCUGACUUGCAGCGCAUACUGGUUCCCUUGAGUACGCACAACGUUGGCGGAAUUCGUCGUGUAGCGGUGAAAUGCUUAGAUAUGACGAAGAACUCCGAUUGCGAAGGCAGCUGACGGGAGCGCAACUGACGCUGAAGCUCGAAGGUGCGGGUAUCGAACAGGAUUAGAUACCCUGGUAGUCCGCACAGUAAACGAUGGAUGCCCGCUGUUGGUACCUGGUAUCAGCGGCUAAGCGAAAGCAUUAAGCAUCCCACCUGGGGAGUACGCCGGCAACGGUGAAACUCAAAGGAAUUGACGGGGGCCCGCACAAGCGGAGGAACAUGUGGUUUAAUUCGAUGAUACGCGAGGAACCUUACCCGGGCU
rnacentral:rRNA from 1 species